GUAUCCAUAGCUUAACUGGAUAGAGCAUUCGCUUGCGAAGUGAAAGGUUAGGGGUUCAAAUCCCCUUGGAUGCACCA
rnacentral:tRNA from 1 species